rnacentral:lncRNA from 1 species
GUUCCUUCUUCUCGGCAGUUGGCAGAUUUGUUAACUAAGGCUUUACCCGGGUCUACUAUUUCAACAUAUUUGUCCAAGUUGAUGGUGGUUUCCCCGCUUCAACUUGAGGGGGGGUGUUGAGAUAUAGGCUAUGAUGAUACACUAAUUCUGAGCUUAAUAAUUGCUCAUUUCCUUAAUUGUGGCUAAUUCUGUAAUUCCUUUAUUCUUUUGUAUUCUUUUGUAAAAUANNNN